ensembl:lncRNA
UGUCACUUUCUCCGCGGACAGGCGUCGCUUCCAGCUCUGACAGGAGCUGCGGCUCGGAAGGUGAGAGGUCCCGGCGCUGGAAGAGCUGCUGUGGCUUCUGACCUGUGGGCCCUUCCUCACUUUCCCCGUGAAUUCUCCGCCGUGUCUGUCUCCCAGUGUCCGGGGUCCCACCGAGUAUACAGUAGGAUGUCCACAGCUGCUUCCUUCUCCCCAGGUCUAACCCCCAAAGCCCAGAGAUUUCUGGAUCCAAUCUUCCUUCCCGGCACCCCCAAUCUCAGCCCGUGUUCACCUCCCCCGCCCCAGUUUUGGCUUCUCUGGCCCCUCUGCUUCUUCCACCUCCUUCCUUCUCCUCUCCCUGCCUCCUGCUGGACCCCCUCCGCAACCUCUGUGGCCCCUUGGAGCCUGCCUCCUAGGCCCCUUCAGGUCUUGCGAUAUCACAACCCAGUGUGAGGAUCAGUUGGAACGAGAGGAAGCUCCUUGGACUCCAGAGGGAGAAGGUUCCCCCAGGGCAGCUGGGGGUGGUGGUGAUUGCGUUACUAGCCCUGAAAGCAAGGAGCCAUUUCCCAAGCAGGACACUUCUAUGGAACAGUCACCCCUGGAGACCCACUCAUGGAGUGAUUUGUCUCUAACCUAAGAGAAGCCUGGGAAUAUGUGGUGUUGACUUAGAGAAGCUGCAUAUCAAGGAAGACAAAUGUUCUCGGAAGUUCAAGGUCGGCCAGAGAAAUACUUCUGAUCAAGUGGAUGGGUAUGAAUGUAGGAAAAAUGAUAGAAGGGCUAGUCUAGGGCCUUUCCUUUUUCUAUGGCAGAGUGCAUGUAAUACACAGAGAAAGAGCUUCAGUAUGUAUUCUAAACUCAGUCUCUGGAAUACAAGCUGUUUCAAGAAGAUCAUUUCUCAGUUAAUUGAAUGUGGGAAAGCCCUCAUCCAUAAUCAACCAUUAAUAGCCCUCAGGCAGGACACACUGGAGCUAAAUCUAUUUCCCAGAUAAUGCUACUUACUGAACGUCUGGGAAGCCAUGUAGGAGAGAAAUUAUGUGAACAUAAGCUUGGGAAGGUCUGCAACUGUGGUUUGUCUCUUAUGCCUUAUUACAGGACUCACGCUAGCACAAAGUUAUAUGAAUGCAAUGAUUGUGGGAAAGCUUUCACUCAGAGUUCAUCCCUUACUUUCCAUCUUUGGAUUCAUUCUGAAGAGAAACCAUUUGGAUGUGGUGACUCUGGGAAGGCAUUUUGCCUGAACAAACAGCUUGUUAGACAGCAGAAAAUUCAUACUGGAGAGAAGCAGCCUUAUGAAUGGGAAGACCUUUCUCCAGACUACAGAACUUAAUCAACAUGGGAGUAUUCAUGCUAGAGAAAAACUAUAUAAGUGUAAUGAAUAUGGGAAGAUCUUCACCGAAGUUCAUCUUUUCUUUCCCAUCAGGCAAGUCAGAAAGAGAGAGAGAGAGAGAGAGAGAGAGAGAAACUUUGAGUGUCAUGUGGAAAGGGUUUCUGCUUGAGAAAACAGUUUACUGGACACCAGACAAUUCAUUCUGGAGAGAAACGUAGAAAGGCCUUCACCUGCAACUCUUCCCUUUUUCCCAUCAUAGGAUCCAUACUGGAGAGAGACCUUCUGAAUGUAAUGAAUAUGGCAGAGCCUUUAGCUGGAGAAUUAAUGUAUCAUCCAGAAUUCACCCCAGAGAGAGACCUUAUGUAUGCCUUGAAUGGGGACAGGCUUUGGCCUGAGGGUGAGCUUACUCCAGCCUGGAGCAUUCACCUUGGACAGAAACCAUCUGAGUGUGGGAAGGCCCAACUCCUCCCUUAUUUCCCAGCUCAGGGUUCACACUAGACAGGAGCUGUUUGAAUGUUGGGGAGACUCUUUUCUCCAGAGUAUACAACUCCCUUGACAUCAGGUGACUCAUGUUUAAGGGAGAGCCUGCUGACUGUCAUGCAAGGAUGUUGGCCACUGCAGGGAAGGCAGAGACUCAGAGCAAGGGCCUUCUUCCUACUCUGCUGCAUGCGACUUCACUCAGCUGCCUCCGAUCCCUCUUGGGCUCCUUGGCUCCUAGGAGGCAGACCAUUUCCUCCACUCCUGCCUUCCCUGCUUGGACUUCCUCCUGGUGCUGCCCUCUUCUCUCUCCUUCCUGUUUCCUAUCAUGAUUGGGUGAGAAAACUGGCAGGGGCUCCCUGGCUGUCCUUAGUGCCAGCCUUCUGAUUCCAGACCACUCCACGGUGCUGAAUAAAUGUCCGCUGGCCUGAUCAGCCAAAGAUUGGAGGAGGGGGUGGGGCCGUGUGAUGUCAUUUCUGCUCCUUGCUGCUUCCGCCAAGGCUUUUGAAGGCUGUCAAUUCCUGGGCUCUCUCCUCCUUGAGCUAGCCCGGUUAGCUCAGAGGCCUAUCUCUCUGCUUGGUUCCAAGAGCUCUUGCAGCUUUGUCCUUGGCGUCUGCCUCUGCUUUCUUCAGCCUCCAGCCAGCACCAAAGUGGAAGAUGCAAUGAAUCUCUCUUGCCUCCGAGAGAGGGCUUCUGGCUCUCAGUCUCCCAGAAUGCUGAAUCUCCAACCGUUCCCAAGUAAAAACUCUCGAGUGGCUCACUGGAGCUGUAUUUAUGCUGCUUCUCCGAGAGUGGGAUUGUGGGAUAUCUCCCAGCGUGCUCUCUGGCCCUCCAUCAAAGGAGAAUGGCUUGUAUCUUUAUAUAUUUGGAGAUUAUAUAUAUAUAUAUAUAUAUAUAUAUAUAUAUAUAUAUAUAUAUAUAUAUUAGAAAUGAGGCCUUUUUCAGAAAUGACCAAGUUACUCUAACCUGGGUUAGAAGCAAAAAUUGCUUUCUGGCUAGGAUAUAUCUGGGAGCCCUGAAAGAUACUGUCUGUAACAUUGAGUCUUCAUGACCUUUGAUUUCUUCAUUAUAAACCAGGUCCUCCUGUUUUCCCCACAAAGGAAAUGUCUAUGUGCAUUGGGUUGCACACAUAUUAUUGACAUAUACCACACAGUGACAGUAAAUGUUUUAUUUGUUUGAUCAGUUAAGGCAGAACUUUGGCCAGGUGCAUCUUUGGAGCUACAGCAAUAUGGAAUAUGUGUGUGUGCAUAUGUCUGUGAGGAAGGGGGUUUGUCAUUUUGUUUGUUAUGCCACUGAAAUAAAUGUCUUUUGCCUUAAUCUUUGUCUCCAG